rnacentral:rRNA from 1 species
AGUGAACGCUGGCGGUAGGCCUAACACAUGCAAGUCGAACGGCAGCACAGUAAGAGCUUGCUCUUACGGGUGGCGAGUGGCGGACGGGUGAGGAAUACAUCGGAAUCUACUUUUUCGUGGGGGAUAACGUAGGGAAACUUACGCUAAUACCGCAUACGACCUACGGGUGAAAGCAGGGGAUCUUCGGACCUUGCGCGAUUGAAUGAGCCGAUGUCGGAUUAGCUAGUUGGCGGGGUAAAGGCCCACCAAGGCGACGAUCCGUAGCUGGUCUGAGAGGAUGAUCGGCCACACUGGAACUGAGACACGGUCCAGACUCCUACGGGAGGCAGCAGUAGGGAAUAUUGGACAAUGGGCGCAAGCCUGAUCCAGCCAUGCCGCGUGGGUGAAGAAGGCCUUCGGGUUGUAAAGCCCUUUUGUUGGGAAAGAAAAGCAGCAGGUUAAUACCCCGCUGUUCUGACGGUACCCAAAGAAUAAGCACCGGCUAACUUCGUG